CCUACGGGGGGCUGCAGUCGAGAAUCAUUCACAAUGGGGGAAACCCUGAUGGUGCGACGCCGCGUGGGGGAAUGAAGGUCUUCGGAUUGUAAACCCCUGUCAUGUGGGAGCAAAUUAAAAAGAUAGUACCACAAGAGAAAGAGACGGCUAACUCUGUGCCAGCAGCCGCGGUAAUACAGAGGUCUCAAGCGUUGUUCGGAAUCACUGGGCGUAAAGUGUGCGUAGGCUGUUUCGUAAGUCGGGUGUGAAAGGCGCGGGCUCAACCCGCGGACGGCACAUGAUACUGCGAGACUAGAGUAAUGGAGGGGGAACCGGAAUUCUCGGUGUAGCAGUGAAAUGCGUAGAUAUCGAGAGGAACACUCGUGGCGAAGGCGCGUUCCUGGACAUUAACUGACGCUGAGGCACGAAGGCCAGGGGAGCGAAAGGGAUUAGAUACCCUAGUAGUC
rnacentral:rRNA from 1 species